UGGAAUGAUGCAGAACACAGAGAGAAUGAUGCAGCACCAAGAAUUUCAAUGAGAGUAGAUUUGAUGGCUUGGCACACAUCUAUGGGAGCAAAGAAACUACCUGACUGUACCUAAGGAACUUGGAAACCUGAGAGAAAAGAGAAAAGGAGACCUGAGCAGGAAUUCAAUGCAGAUGAAGACAUCUGGAGAGAGGUAUUAAGUGUUCAGAAAUCGGGCUAAUUCAUUGCAGCUGUGAGGGAGCAGGCAGAGGUAACUGCACGUGAGCUGUUUUAGUCUGGCAUGGCUCAUGAAGACGAAUUCCUUUUUUGGGUCUCUGAUUUUGAAUUGGCGUGAUAGAUCAUGUAACUCUCUGAGGAACUUUAGAAUUCCAGACGGUUUGACGGAAGUGCUGUAUGACUGAUUCCCCGACUGAGGGGGCCAUGGGCUGUCUGUGGACUAUCACAUCUCAGGGGUUCUACCUGCUUCUCCCACUGAUUUCACACCGAGAAAGGAAGCUUUACAAAGUCUCCUUUGUAAGAAGUCAUUAAUAUGAUAGGUGAGAAAACCAUCUGGAUACAGGAUGGCUGGGACCUCAGCAUCCUUCCUUAAUAUCCGUGUCACGUUCCUGUUUACUUAAAGAUGGCCUCAUGCAGACAUCACACAGUAAGGUGGCCUUGGUACCCAGGGUCCAUGUUGCAUAUUGGAGGUGAAGACUAAUUUAUUGCCCGUUCUUAUUUUAAUAAGAAUUAACACCAUGGAAUUUUAAAAAUGCUUACAAAGCAUUGCCACUUAGUUUGAAGGGUUCUCACAUACCUGUUGUCCAAUUUAUGCCUCUUACAUACUUAUUUCAUAUGCCUGUACAUGCAAAGUCACAUAACCGUUUCUUGGGUAAGAAGGCAUGAUGAGCAGGAGAGAUAGAGAAGCCCUCUUAUAGACCACACUAUUUGAGACCCAACCGAAAGUGCAGCAGAAGGGUAUUCCUAAUUGAGGAAGGUCCUCGGUUUCAUGUGGAAGACCCUGGAGAGGCACAAUGUUCUCAAGGCAGCAGGUGCCUGGUUACAGCUGUGCUAUGGCAUCUGUAAAUGUCCUGAAGCCAUGGGCCUGUUCCGGCUACUCCCAACAAAACCCAGAGAAAUGAAUUAUGUCUAAACCACCUCUGUGUAAAGUAGUUCAUCUCCAGCUUCACCUUGUAAAUAUUAACAGCUCUCUUUCUCCCCAGCUCUUCAUGGCUCAUGUCAUCUUUUAAAUGCUAGGAGUCCAUUUUCUAUCAGUCAGAGUUAGAUUGUGGACUCCAGGAUAGCGUGAACCAUGUUUAGGUGCUCUAUUCAAAAUAUUUCCUAAAACAUAAUAGUCAAUUAGUCGAUAAAUAUAUUAUGAGUACGUUAAGGAAUGAAUAAGAUGUGACACUUUUAAGUGCAGCUGAGAGAACACUGAUACCAUUUUCACAGUGUGAGAAUUGACAGCAUAAACUUGAUAUAUUAAUAACUAUCCAUUUGUAGUCAAAUGGCCACGAACACUGACAUUUAUGCAAUAUUUUCCUUUUAUAAUUGAUGUGAAAAUUAGUAUUAGAAUAGGAAGUAAGAAGGAAAGGAAUAUAAAAGCUUGGGGAAUGAUUGUACAUGAUUGGUGCUCAGAAUUUUGUUCAGCCAUAAAACUUAGGAUGAAAGCUGGGAGCCUGCGCAACCUUGUUACAUUUCUCUCCCAUCAUUCCAGAGACCAAGCCAAAGGCUUUACAUUUCACAGCUAAUUAGUAGGGAAACAGGACCAGACUGAAGGAGAUUUCUUUUCAGUCCAGUAAUUUCCCUUUAGCUCGUCCUAUCUCACCUUGCCACAAACAUUCAGUUUUAACAUUUCCUGGUUGAUGGUGUCUGAAAUCUCAAAUUUAACAGCAUAUUUCCAGGUGUAAAACUUGACUUUCCCUUCCUUUCCACAUGGGAGCUCCAGCUGUGCAAUGGAGAUGAGGAAGGUACGUUUCUUCUCAGCAUCAUUUAGAGGCCCCCCUUGAAGUCAUGCACAAUAAACCCUUUAUCCACGGCUACAAAGCUCCUGGUGCCCGAUUUCCCACACAUGUGAUUCCAUUUCAAAAACACAAUCCGAACCGUUUUCAUGGCCAUGUCAUGUUACAACGUUGCAAGUGGCCGUAAACAAAGCAAAGGGCUGGUGUUGGACCAUUUGAGGAGACACACAUAAACCUGGGAUACAGAUUUAAUUUCUGAACUAUUUCAUUAUUACAACAGGUACUGUGUCUCCAAGUAUUUUUACUUAAAUUCCUUGGGUGGCAGAAAUCAAAGCCGUACCAGGAUAGCAUUAAUGAGAAGUGAAGUCAAAAUAUCUGGAAAACCUGAUACUUCAAAUGCUACGUGAAAGGCAAUCUGUCUAAAAACUAAUUUCUCCCAAGAAUGAGCUGUAAUUUUUGUUUUCCAGUCACUGUAGAAAUAAUCUUGUGGGCUCCAUGCCUGUGCUUUAAUAUUUCGGAAUAAAACAUAGGUGCUCAUGCCAGAUGUAUGGAAAGAAUAUGCCAGUUAAUCUAAGAAUUUUAAUUAAUGAUUGAAAUGGAUAUCUUUUUUUUUCUUGUUCAGGAGGACAUUAAGCCUUUUAAUUUUCUAUUGGUCCAAGUCGUGAGGAGAAGGCAAAGGACAGGAAAGACAAAGCAUCAGGCGGAGUGGCUCUUAGCAUCUUCUCUGAGUCUCUUGGAACAUUGCAAAAGGAAACAGAAAAAAAAAAUCCAGAAUGAUAACAAUGAGGAGAAAUCUUUGUUUUGAAUAAAGACUCAACCCAAGAUGCCCCAGAGAUCCCUUCUAGCUGAACCCCUUGACUAAUUUUGUAGCAAGUGUGUGCCUGCAUGCAACUCUUUGCUGAAGGCAAUUCACUCCUUCGUACAGCCUGCUCUCCCAUUGGCAGUAGGUCUCAACAGUAAGAGCAUUUAUUUUUUUUCUUUAAGCUCUCCAAAAUCAGUCAUAGUUCUUUUAGGAUACCAUAGAACAGGUCUACCCUCAUUUUAAAUUUCAUAUUCAAAGAUAAUGACUGUAACUCUCGGCAUGUCUUCAUAAGUGACUAGAGUUGCCACUAGUGGGGGCAGAACAGAGAGGUCAAGGGGGUCUUGGUGCCUCUGGGUCGCAGGGACUCUGAUGAAAGGAAUGGGGGCCAUGGGAUAUGAUGAACUGCCUGACACUGGAUGCUGGUGCUUCAUUCCUGCCUCUCCUCCUUGGUCCAGUUCUCUCUUAUUCUGCCCACAAGCAGAAUAGCAGAAUGGCUAAACCUAAACUCCUAAGAAAUGAAAAGCCCUAAGAGCUUCAGAAACAGAUCGUCAAGAGAGAGCACCGAAGAGAAGCAGGAACUCAAGGGAGAGUCCAGUUUACCGCGUCCAGAUAAACGGGAGAAGAAGAAUAAAAACAAAAAACAACAUUAUCAUCAUCAACAACAACAACAACCCCAAAGCAAAAGACAGUGUUACAGUCCUGGGAUGAGAUGAUGUGGGUCUGAAAGGAAAUGUGGCGGUAGAGAAUCCUUGUUGCCGAGAUGCUACUUUUGGUUGGUAUCAAGAGUGCCUACAGUGACUUAAGCCCUCAUUGCUCUCAGAUAUCCUGCUUCAGGGAAAGCAGGUACAAGCAGUGCUCAGACGAAGAUCUUCAAGGGCACACAAUGAGAAUCAAAUCAUCACCUGGAAAAAAAAAGAUCUGAUAAAGGGCGAGCACUAUGUGUUCAUGGCAUCUGUGUGUCUGCACACAGAGCGCUUUGCUAUGGUGAGCAUGCGCGCAUCCCUCUGGCGGAUCCUCAUUCCAGGGUGGAAAGCUUUGGAUGGCAAGGUGAAUGUUACUACUGUGUAAAUAUUAAUGACGGACACAACCCUCAGUUCCUGGGAUAUCCAUUCAGUUAGAUUCUCCCAAGCAUUUGUGUUCUAGAAGAAAGUGAUGAACUUUUUCUACAGCUGGAUAGUAAAUGUUUUGUGAUAUACAAGUCUCUGUCCUUGUUUAUUCUUAUGACCCCUUAAAACAUAAAAAUAAAAGAAUUUCUU